GCCGUGGUAGCUCAGACGGCAAAGGGCGUCUAGCUCCUGACUGGAAGGUCCUGGGUUCAAUCCCAGGUAGGGGCA
rnacentral:tRNA from 1 species